rnacentral:lncRNA from 1 species
AUGCUGGUCUCUGGAAGCACAUGUGAGCCUGACUACCUAGAUCAUCUGCAGAGCUUUCUGACAAAGGUUCACUCUCCCUUCUUGUGGACAAAGCAAACACAGAGCGACCAGAAGUCACAGAAUUCACCGCCAGACCCAUCCUGUGAACAGGCCCCGGCCGUGAAGCUUCCCAGAAGCAUAAACUGCCAGCGAGCGUGGGAAAUCCUCAUUUCAAGGAGGAACUGUGGCCCUGCUGCUAUGGGACUAACUGCCACAGUCCGUUUUCGUUGAGCUGGGCAAAGGGGUGGAAGAGAUUAACAGAGCACAGAUCUUGACGGAGACAGAGAAAGCAGACGGCUAACGGCAACAUUCGGUUUGUGAUCAGCUGGCUCCGCGGGAGGUGGAUGAGGGUAGACAGCUGGAAAGCUGCGCUGGCGGGGCUCAGCCUGAGGGUCAGGGCAGCAGGAGCUGUGGCCGACGGGAGGAAGCGUCCCCUCCUAUCUGACAGAGAAAGGCCUUGGUGAGGAAAGCACCUACAACUUCCGGACAGCUGUGUCUGAGGGACCCCGUGCAGCGAGCACCUGCCAUCAUACUCUACCUAGCAAGAACUAAGGAAUUAAACUCUUUAAGCCAAAGUGUAAAAACACAAAACUACGACUUUCUGGCAUACGCUGCUCUUUCGAUACACGUGCACACUGCGAAAGUUCACAGCAGGAUAAAACCCGUCCAUUGCUCCUCCACGGUGCGCGCGCGCGUCCUGCUCACUUGCGGCGCGGGCCCGCAGCACCCAAGCCUCCCGCUCUGUGCACCGCCCGGGACCCGCACCCCGCAGGGGCCGAGUCCG